rnacentral:snRNA from 1 species
AUACUUACCUGGCAGGGGAGACACCAUGAUCAGACAGGUGGUUUUCCCAGGGCGAGGCUCAUCCCCUGCUCUCCGGGUGUGCUGACCCCUGCGAUUUCCCCAAAUGCAGGAAACUCGACUGCAUAAUUUGUGGUAGUGGGUUUUGUUUUUUUUUUUUCUUU